CAGCAGCCGCGGGAAUACGAAGGGGGCUAGCGUUGUUCGGAAUUACUGGGCGUAAAGCGCACGUAGGCGGAUAUUUAAGUCAGGGGUGAAAUCCCAGAGCUCGACUCUGGAACUGCCUUUGAUACUGGGUAUCUUGAGUAUGGAAGAGGUGAGUGGAAUUCCGAGUGUAGAGGUGAAAUUCGUAGAUAUUCGCAAGAACACCAGUGGCGAAGGCGGCUCACUGGCCCGAUACUGACGCUGAGGCACGAAAGCGUGGGGAGCAAACAGGAUUAGAUACCCCAGUAGUCCCUGUCUCUUAUAC
rnacentral:rRNA from 1 species